rnacentral:tRNA from 1 species
GCCCGGUUAGCUCAGAUGGUAGAGCGCGGGAAUCUUCAUCCUGAGGUCGAGGUUUCAAGUCCCUCAUCGGGCG